rnacentral:rRNA from 1 species
AUGUCUACUAGUUGUCGGGUUUUAAUUAACUUGGUAACGCAGCUAACGCGUGAAGUAGACCGCCUGGGGAGUACGGUCGCAAGAUUAAAACUCAAAGGAAUUGACGGGGACCCGCACAAGCGGUGGAUGAUGUGGAUUAAUUCGAUGCAACGCGAAAAACCUUACCUACCCUUGACAUGUACGGAAGGCCGGAGAGAUCUGGCUGUGCUCGAAAGAGAACCGUAACACAGGUGCUGCAUGGCUGUCGUCAGCUCGUGUCGUGAGAUGUUGGGUUAAGUCCCGCAACGAGCGCAACCCUUGUCAUUAGUUGCUACGAAAGGGCACUCUAAUGAGACUGCCGGUGACAAACCGGAGGAAGGUGGGGAUGACGUCAAGUCCUCAUGGCCCUUAUGGGUAGGGCUUCACACGUCAUACAAUGGUACAUACAGAGCGCCGCCAACCCGCGAGGGGGAGCUAAUCGCAGAAAGUGUAUCGUAGUCCGGAUUGUAGUCUGCAACUCGACUACAUGAAGUUGGAAUCGCUAGUAAUCGCGGAUCAGCAUGUCGCGGUGAAUACGUUCCCGGGUCUUGUACACACCGCCCGUCACACCAUGGGAGCGGGUUUUACCAGAAGUAGGUAGCUUAACCGCAAGGAGGGCGCUUACCACGGUAGGAUUCGUGACUGGGGUGAAGUCGUAACAAGGUAGCCGUAUCGGAAGGUGC